rnacentral:rRNA from 1 species
CGAUAGCGUAUAUUAAAGUUGUUGCAGUUAAAAAGCUCGUAGUUGGAUUUGUGGCGUACGGUGUGUUCCGGGCACUUGUUGUCUGAGUAACCUGCUGUUGCCAUCCUUGGGUGGAACCUGUGUGGCAUUAGGUUGUCGUGCAGGGGAUGCCCAUCAUUUACUGUGAAAUAAUUAGAGUGUUCAAAGCAGGCUUAUGCCGUUGAAUAUAUUAGCAUGGAAUAAUGAGAUAGGACUUUUUUGCUAUUUUGUUGGUUUGCGCAAAGAGGUAAUGAUUAAUAGGGACAGUUGGGGGUAUUCGUAUUCCAUAGUCAGAGGUGAAAUUCUUGGAUUUUUGGAAGACGAACUACUGCGAAAGCAUUUACCAAGGAUGUUUUCAUUAA